UUAUUUGAGAGUUUGAUCCUGGCUCAGGAUGAACGCUGGCGGCGUGCCUAACACAUGCAAGUUGAGCGAUUUACUUCGGUAAAGAGCGGCGGACGGGUGAGUAACGCGUGGGUAACCUACCCUGUACACACGGAUAACAUACCGAAAGGUAUGCUAAUACGGGAUAAUAUAU
rnacentral:rRNA from 1 species